GGAAAUUAGAUCAACCUCCAAGUCAAACCAGGCUCAAAACCAGAAAAUACUGCCUGUAGAUAUGUCAGAAAAUGGCAAUACAUUAUCUUUCUAUUACCAGUUGACUUGCUCUUGGGUGUUGUAUGUGGUGCUAUUAUUGGUUAAUCCAGAAGGGCUUUUCUUUAGAAUUUCUUGCAGUUUUGCAAUGUAAAUAUAUAAAUGGGCUCUAAAAAGUAUGAUUAAGUAAAUAAUUCUUCUCCCUCAGUUCUCAGAGAUGAACUAUUGAUUUGCGUGUGACUUGCUGUAUAGAAGUAGAA
rnacentral:misc_RNA from 1 species